UACUGAUGUGACUAUAAAGAUUUUGUAUUGUGGUAUUUGCCACACUGAUCUCCACCAUGCCAAAGAUGACUGGGGCCUUACUAUGUACCCUGUUGUUCCCGGGCAUGAGAUAACAGGGAUUAUCACCAAAGUUGGGAAUGAUGCAAAGGGUUUCAAAGAAGGAGACAGAGUUGGUGUGGGAUGUUUGGCUGCUACAUGUUUGGAUUGUGAGUAUUGCAACACAGAUCAGGAGAACUACUGUGAAAAGUUGCAGUUUGUGUACAAUGGUAUUUUUUGGGAUGGUAGCAUCACUUAUGGUGGCUACUCACAGAUGUUGGUCGUAGAUUACAGGUUCAUCAAUAUCCUUAUACUAUAUCAUUCCUUUUUUUUCUUUUUCAUCUUUGUUUUUUCUGUGUAUUGGUUUUCAAUUUUACGAAAAAGAUCUUAACGUUUUUUAAGAUUGCGUUGAUUUUUAAGACUAUUUUAAAAGAUUUGUAACAAAUAGAAUUCUAAAGUUUCGAUUUUAAUCAAUUUUAACCUGGAUCUAUUAAUUAUGACUAUAAGCAAGACCAUAAAUAUACCCCCGAAAAAUAAGUGGGCAUAGGAAGUGGGCUAAAAGGUCUUUGCGAAUACUUGCUGACACUUGCUUGCAGCUAUUUUGAUGAAUGAAUGUGAAUAUCUAUUUAUGCUUUGCUAAAGGAUGUUUCUGUUCUAUUAUUAUGUUCACAAAAUAUUGCAUGCGAGUGUUUAGUUGUAUGUGUGGAAUGGUGACUUAAAUUGAGUAUUGGAGUAGGUAUUUGCAUAA